AGGAGAAGAAAGAAAAUGAAAGGAGAAGAAGAAGAAGAAGAAGAAGAAGAAGAAGAAGAAGAAGAAGAGAAGAAAAAGAGAAGAAGAAGAAGAAGAAAAAGAAGAAGAAGGAGAAAGAGAGGGUGGUGCCGGAAAAAGAAAAGAAAAAGAGAGAAAGAGAAUAGAGAAAGGAGAAAGAAAGAGAAGAAAAAAAAUAGAAAAAGUAAGGUAUUUUUUUAAAAAAUAAUAGAUUAUCUUGUUAUUAUGUUUUUUUGUAUAUUUUUUAUUGUUUUUUGUUGUUAGUUUAGUUAUUAUUGUUAGUUAUUAGG
rnacentral:lncRNA from 1 species